rnacentral:rRNA from 1 species
CGUAACAAGGUUUCCGUAGGUGAACCUGCGGAAGGAUCAUUAUCUAUUCCAUGAGGUGCGGUCGCGGCCCUCGGCGGGAGCAACAGCUACCGUCGGGCGGUAGAGGUAACACUUUCACGCGCCGCAUGUCUGAAUCCUUUUUUUACGAGCACCUUUCGUUCUCCUUCGGCGGGGCAACCUGCCGUUGGAACCUAUCAAAACCUUUUUUUGCAUCUAGCAUUACCUGUUCUGAUACAAACAAUCGUUACAACUUUCAACAAUGGAUCUCUUGGCUCUGGCAUCGAUGAAGAACGCAGCGAAAUGCGAUAAGUAGUGUGAAUUGCAGAAUUCAGUGAAUCAUCGAAUCUUUGAACGCACAUUGCGCCCCUUGGUAUUCCAUGGGGCAUGCCUGUUCGAGCGUCAUCUACACCCUCAAGCUCUGCUUGGUGUUGGGCGUCUGUCCCGCCUCUGCGCGCGGACUCGCCCCAAAUUCAUUGGCAGCGGUCCUUGCCUCCUCUCGCGCAGCACAUUGCGCUUCUCGAGGUGCGCGGCCCGCGUCCACGAAGCAACAUUACCGUCUUUGACCUCGGAUCAGGUAGGGAUACCCGCUGAACUUAA